AACGAACGCUGGCGGCAUGCCUAACACAUGCAAGUCGAACGAGACCUUCGGGUCUAGUGGCGCACGGGUGCGUAACGCGUGGGAACCUGCCCUUAGGUUCGGAAUAACUCCCCGAAAGGGGUGCUAAUACCGGAUAAUGUCUUCGGACCAAAGAUUUAUCGCCUUUGGAUGGGCCCGCGUUGGAUUAGCUAGUUGGUAGGGUAAAAGCCUACCAAGGCGACGAUCCAUAGCUGGUCUGAGAGGAUGAUCAGCCACACUGGGACUGAGACACGGCCCAGACCUCCUCGGGAGGGAGACGGGGGGAAUAUUUGAAAAUGGGGGAAAGCCUGAUCCAGGAAUUGCGCGGGAGGGAAGAAGGGCUUUGGGUUGUAAAGCCCUUUUUCCCCGGAAGAUAAAGACAGGUCCGGGAGAAAAAAAUCCCGGUAAACCCCGG
rnacentral:rRNA from 1 species